rnacentral:rRNA from 1 species
UGGGAUACCACUUGGAAACAGGUGCUAAUACCGGAUAAGAAAGCAGAUCGCAUGAUCAGUCUUUUAAAAAAGGGCGGCGUAAGCUGUCGCUAUGGGAUGGCCCGCGGUGCAUUAGCUAGUUGGUAAGGUAAAAGGCUUACCAAGGCGAUGAUGCAUAGCCCGAGUUGAGAGACUGAUCGGGCCACAUUGGGGACUGAGACACGGGGGCCCAAACUCCUACGGGGGGAGGGGGCAGCAGUAGGGGGAAUCUUCCACAAUGGACGCAAGUCUGAUGGAGCAACGCCGCGUGAGUGAAGUAAGGUUUUCGGAUCGUAAAGCUCUGUUGUUGGUGAAGAAGGAUAGAGGUAGUAACUGGCCUUUAUUUGACGGUAAUCAACCAGAAAGUCACGGCUAACUACGUGCCAGCAGCCGCGGUAAU